GCCGAGAUGGCGGAAUCGGUAGACGCAGCGGAUUCAAAAUCCGCCGCCGAAAGGCGUGAGGGUUCGAGUCCCUCUCUCGGCACCA
rnacentral:tRNA from 1 species